rnacentral:lncRNA from 1 species
AGUGGAGUUCGAGUGGCCCUCGAAUUUCAAUACACAUGUCGUCAUGCUCAGCUGAUGUACCAGCUAAGAUCUCUCCUCCGAUGGAAGCUCCAUCGGAUGUCGAAGCCCGAUAUACUAGGAAGGGCAUCGACAAUUAUCGGGUCGCCCGAUCCUUAGUUCGAUCGAUUCUUCUGUCGGUCGAUGUCGAAGCCUUCAAUACCAAAGGUGGUGCAUUUCGAGUCCAUGAC